UCUGUACAGUCUAGUACAGAUAUAGGCCAUUUCAGACUUUAACUGGUUUGUAGUUCUAAUUGCCAAUAGUUUGCACGUCAUAGUCAUUCAAUAAUUAUUACUUUUUGAUGAUUAUUUUAAUAAUAUGGACACAUUUUAGAGGUGAAAAGCCCAAAAUUACACAUUUUUGUUUCCAUAGCAACCAUCCUAGAACCCAAUUUCCCCAACAUUUUGUUAUCAUGUUUUUAUUAGAAACAUUGACACUUUUCAUUCAUAACCACGUGUUAAAUAGAGGUGGAUGCAGAAAUGUCUAUUUUGUUCAUACAAAAUGUGUAAAAUUUCUCUUCUGAACUAUAUUGAAAAAUGACAUCUGCCUCUGCGGUUGUGACAAUAUUCAGGCCAAACUAUUUUUUAUAUAUGACAUUGCUAUUUUGUUUGUCAAAAUUCAUGUUUCUGAAAAAUAUUUAAAAGUAUCAUUUAAUAAAACCUGGUUUUGAUUACGAAUCACUGCAAAGUACUUGUUUUUUUUCAAUGCCAAAUUCCUCAAAAACUGCGGG
rnacentral:lncRNA from 1 species